UAGGGAAUAUUGGACAAUGGGCGAAAGCCUGAUCCAGCAAUGCCGCGUGAGUGAUGAAGGCCUUAGGGUUGUAAAGCUCUUUUACCAGGGAUGAUAAUGACAGUACCUGGAGAAUAAGCUCCGGCUAACUCCGUG
rnacentral:rRNA from 1 species